rnacentral:rRNA from 1 species
AUAUUGGUCAAUGGGCGCGAGCCUGAACCAGCCAAGUCGCGUGAGGGAAGACUGCCCUAUGGGUUGUAAACCUCUUUUGUCGGGGAGCAAAGCCGCCACGUGUGGUGGUUUGAGAGUACCCGAAGAAAAAGCAUCGGCCAACUCCGUGCCAGCAGCCGCGGUAAUACGGAGGAUGCGAGCGUUAUCCGGAUUUAUUGGGUUUAAAGGGUGCGUAGGCGGACGAUCAAGUCAGCGGUCAAAUGUCGGGGCUUAACCCCGGCCUGCCGUUGAAACUGGUUGUCUUGAGUGAGCGAGAGGUAUGCGGAAUGCGUGGUGUAGCGGUGAAAUGCAUAGAUAUCACGCAGAACCCCGAUUGCGAAGGCAGCAUACCGGUGCUCAACUGACGCUGAUGCACGAAAGCGUGGGGAUCAAACAGG